UUGAAACAUCAUACGUCCAAACUCCAUUCCAUAGCUUCUUCAAAUCAUCAAUCAGAGGCUCCAAAUAAACAUCAAUCGCUGAUUUGGGAUUAGAUGGACCUGGUAUUAUACACAUUAAAAACAUGUAAGGCUUUGUCAUACACAUCUCAGGAGGUAGAUUGUAUGGGGUAACUAUCACCGGCCAACAUGAAUAUGGUGAUGCAGACGCCUGAAUGUAUGGGGUAAACCCAUCAGAGCAUAAACCAAGUCUCACGUUANGCGGUUCACUAGCAAAGGACGGAUGUUUACGAUUAAAGUGCUUCCAAGCUUCACCAUCAUAAGGAUGAUGCAAAACUCCUUUAGUUUUGUU
rnacentral:lncRNA from 1 species